rnacentral:tRNA from 1 species
GCGGUAGUGGUGAAAUGGUAGACACGCUACUUUGAGGGGGUAGUGGGCAUUGGCCUGUGUGAGUUCGAGUCUCACCUACCGCA